rnacentral:rRNA from 1 species
GACGUAGGGCGCGAGCGUUGUCCGGAUUUAUUGGGCGUAAAGAGCUCGUAGGCGGCUUGUUGCGUCGACCGUGAAAACCCGGGGCUCAACUUCGGGCUUGCGGUCGAUACGGGCGGGCUAGAGUUCGGUAGGGGAGACUGGAAUUCCUGGUGUAGCGGUGAAAUGCGCAGAUAUCAGGAGGAACGCCGGUGGCGAAAGCGGGUCUCUGGGCCGAGACUGACGCUGAGGAGCGAAAGCGUGGGGAGCGAACAGG